rnacentral:misc_RNA from 1 species
GAUGAAGAACGAAGCGAAAUGCGAUAAGUAGUGUGAAUUGCAGAAUUCAGUGAAUCAUCGAGUCUUUGAACGCACAUUGCGCCCCCUGGUAUUCCGGGGGGCAUGCCUGUCCGAGCGUCAUUGCUGCCCUCAAGCACGGCUUGUGUGUUGGGCCUCCGUCCUCCUCCCGGGGGACGGGCCCGAAAGGCAGCGGCGGCACCGCGUCCGGUCCUCGAGCGUAUGGGGCUUCGUCACCCGCUCUUGUAGGCCCGGCCGGCGCUUGCCGACACAUCAAUCUUUUUUCCAGGUUGACCUCGGAUCAGGUAGGGAUACCCGCUGAACUUAAGCAUAUCAAUAAGCGGAGGA